GGGUUUCGGUUUAGGCAGCAGCAACAUCCUCUCCAGCCAAUUAGGGUGAUGAAGGGGUUAAAACGAAGCAUGGUGAUGGGCAUUGCUGAUUGUCAGAUAGGACCUUGGGUCACCUCAGACAAGCCUCUGGGCAUACCGGAUUAGGUUAGUGGAAGCGAAAAGACACAUGCUGAUUGUGAGCAUCUCCAUUCUAUGGAGUAGAGGGAGCUCUGGACUAAAUACAGAAGAAGAGCUUGAUAUGGGAAUCGGGUUUGUUGCUCUCUACUUCCUGACUGUGGCGGCAGCAGGACAGGCUAAGCUGCUUCAGGCUCAUCGCCUUGUACCCUUGGACUGUGAGCUGGAACUUCUCCCUUAAUCUGCUUUUGUCAGACUAUUAUAUCAUAGGGACAGGAAGAGAAGUGGUCUCACACUCCUUUGCUAGUGUCGUAAAUUAUGAUGGCAUCCGGGCACUUUCACCUCAGGUGUCAACUCACCCUCAUUGUAAACCCAAAGUGGGUGUGGUUGCCUGAGGAGACCUAGGCAUCAGAGAAGCUACCCAGUUGGCAUGGGGGUAGACCUGGAACCCAAAACCAGACCCAAAACCUGUCAUUCUCAGGGCCUUGCUCUAUAUCACUGUGUUCAGCUUCCUAGAGUUCCCAUGGGAACAAGGGUGAACCUUGAGGAUGCUGCUCAGUAAAACAUGCCAGUCACCAAAGGAGAGACACUGCAAAAUUCUGUUCAUACGAGACGAGAUACGCUGUUUUGGUUCAUCUUCACACUUCAACUUGACUGGAUUUGGAAUCACUAUGGAAACACAUCUCGGGGUGUGUCUAUGAUGGCUUUUUCAGAAAUGUUAACUAAAGAGGGAAGACUGAUCCUGAAUAUGGUGGUACUGUCAGUGUACUGGGGGUCCGGGUGGAGAAUAAGAGGGGAAAGGAGCUGAGCAACAGCCUGCGCCUCUCUCCUUCCUGACUGCGGACCGUGUCGCCAGCCUUAUGUUCCUGCCGCCAUGGACCACAUGGGUCGUGAUGGAUCACAUCCCCUUGAAAGUGAGCCGAAGUAAACUGCAUCUUCCUUGAGUUGCUUGGUCAUGGGAUGUAACGAUCACAGGCACACAUGGGCACGUGCAGAAUGGGGGAGAGACUGGUGGGUGCUUAGAGCCCGGGGUGGGGGAGCAGAAGGGCAAAGAUUCUGAUGAGCUUAUGAAAAGUUCCAAAAUUUACCUGUUGUCUACAUGAAGGAUGUUGACACACACGUCUAUGUCAUUUCUUUUCUCCCAGAGCUCAGCUUUGACCCAGAGCUCUAGGCUUGCAAAGAAUGUUCUCUGACCAUGAGCCGAGUCCUCUCAGCCUCAAGUACGCACUUUAAGCAAGACAGUGACACGGUUUGGGAAUCGUCACACAUCGCUGUUCUGGUGUGGUGGUACAGGCAUGUAAUUAUCUCAGUUUCUUGAAUGGCUGAGGCAGGAGGAUUGUUUAAAUAAAACAAUUGCAAGAUGGCUCAGCAGGUAGAAACACUUGCUGCCAAGAUUGACAAACCUGAGGUUGACUACUGGCAUUCACAUUGAAAAGAGAAUCAACUACUGCAAGUUUCCCUCUGGUCUCUAUAGUCAUAUAUAUAUUAUUUUAUCUUUCUAGUGUUUUGUUUUGUUUUGUUUUGUUUUUUGAGACAGGCUUUCCCUGUUAUGUGGCUCUGGCUGUCCUGGAACUUGCAAUCUGGCACCAAACUCACAGAGAUCUACCUGUCUCUGCCUCCCAAAUGCUGAGAUUAAAGGUGUAUAUUUAUAAUAAAUAAAUAUCUUUAAAAAGGGCUUCUGAUCUCCCAUGUGGCUCCACCCCUC
rnacentral:lncRNA from 1 species